rnacentral:lncRNA from 1 species
AUGAAGCAAAAGAUACAUACUGCAGAGUAAAACUACAUGAGAAAUGAUUAGUGGAAAACAAUAUAAUUUGUUUAUUGUAAGAACUGAAAACACCGGAGAACCAAUAUACUUCUUAUAGUAAUAAUUCAUAUCCAAAAAGUAAUCGAUUAUGGGAGCAUCUAACACUGAUUUAAGCAGACAUUUCAUAAAAACAUGUCAAAGAAUUAUCAAUUAUAUCCAACUAAUUACUAAAACGGGAUUUACUGUCAGUAUACAUCUAUAUUCAGUUAGAAAUUAUGGAGAUCCAAGGAGAAUUAUCUAGGUUGUAUGACAUGAGUGCAUAAAUCUUACAAAGGCUAAUUAAUCAUCAGAUACCUUAACGUCUCAAAAAGCUUAAUCCUUAGAAUAUUUCCAUAUCUAGAAUGAAAAUAAUCACAUCAUGUAAUUACUAAAACAGGUACAAAAUACAGUCAAGUCGAUUUUUCAUUUUUACAGAACAAUUGGUGAGCAUGACAUUGAGCUAUCGUAUCACUAAAAUGUAGCAGCCAAUGGGACCAGCAGAAACCUAUACAUCUAGAAGAAAAUAGUAUCCAAAAUUGUACCAUUGAAGGGAACUGAUACUCAGACCAAGAAAAAGUCUGCUUCACGGCCACACACACACAUUCAGUUACAAUCAGCUUAGUCGGCCUGUGAGAGGAGCCUGUGUGUACAUAUUGGACACUACCUGGAUACAUAUAGUUUGUUGUGAUGGAAGUCUCGGGCUCGUAAUGUGGAGAAGGGAACUGAUACUCAGACCAAGAUAAAGUCUGCUUCACGGCCACACACACACAUUCAGUUACAAUCAGCUUAGUCGGCCUGUGAGAGGAGCCUGUGUGUACAUAUUGGACACUACCUGGAUACAUAUAGUUUGUUGUGAUGGAAGUCUCGGGCUCGUAAUGUCGAUAUGGAUGACUCAAGCAGAGCGACAACAUGUGUACACAUAGAAAAUAAUAUAGUGGUUACUUAUCAAACUCAGUUAUUGUCUCAACUGGAAACAUGCAAGCGGAAUUCCGAGAAGAGAUAAUGUCGCAAUCAUCCAAAUGUGCGAUUAAAAAAGUGGUAUGAAAUUGAAGGAUUUCUAUUAACUUGCAAAAUCAGAAUAGUAUUGUCAAAGUGCAACAUUAUUUCAAUUUACUAAAAACUCAAAAAUGCUUGAUCGUUAAGAACUUCUUUGGAAGUCAAGUUAAAAGUCCAGGUGGAUUAAUAUUCUUAGGAUAACUGGCCAAGUAUAUGUGCUAUAUUGAGUCUUCAGUUUAGGUUCUGUAUAUAUAGAUUCCUAGCCAAAAAUUACAGCCUAUACUAAUACUCAUCCAAAUGUGCGAUUAAAAAAGUGGUAUGAAACCGAAGGAUUUCUAUUAACUUGCAAAAUCAGAAUAGUAUUGUCAANN